UACGUAGGCAGCAAGCGUUGUUCGGAAUUACUGGGCGUAAAGGGCGCGUAGGCGGCCUGCUAAGUCGGACGUGAAAUCCCUCGGCUCAACCGGGGAACUGCGUCCGAUACUGGUGGGCUCGAAUCCGGGAGAGGGAUGUGGAAUUCCAGGUGUAGCGGUGAAAUGCGUAGAUAUCUGGAGGAACACCGGUGGCGAAGGCGGCAUCCUGGACCGGUAUUGACGCUGAUGCGCGAAAGCCAGGGGAGCAAACGGG
rnacentral:rRNA from 1 species